rnacentral:lncRNA from 1 species
AUGAGAUGGCGGGGCUGGCGUCAUUCGCCAUGUCCUGAAGGGCUGCGAGAGAGAGGAACAGAGCCACCAUCAGAGCCUGUGUCUGCAGAAACAUGGGGACACCCUCCUGCCACGUCCAUGCCAGGCAGCUCUUGCCAUGGCCUGGAGGAAGCAGGAGACAAGAAGGGCGAGCUGGAAGGUGCUGGCCACGAAUCUGCCACAGGCCCCCGAAAGGUGCUGAAGAUCCCUUCUCUUCAGGAACCUUACUGCAGAAAGCAGCGUUUCCCGAGAGGCCUGCAGAGCGGCAGAGAGCCGGAGAUGGCACCGCAGCCCAGGGCACAGGAGCCGCGUCCCUGUGCCAAGGCCAGGAGGGAGCUGGAGCCCAUGAGGAGGAGCCAGGCUGUGGGGAGACAGCUGAGCCCCCUGCCAUGGGGACCCCGGCGCCCAGGAGCCCUCACCUGUGCCACACCCCAGUUCUCAUCGUGGCAGUUGAAGAAGAGUGGGAGCAGGCUCUGCCUCACAUGCUUCUUCAGGGGCUUUUUUCCCUUGGCCACCACCAAGUUCAUCACCUCUUGGAAGAGGCGAACGGAGAGCAGCUUCACAAGGCUGUUGUCCUGUUGGAAAGGAAGCAAAACCCCUCCACAUCAGCUGCUUCAGGCCCCCCUGUGCACAGGCCCAAGGCACCGGGCUUCCAGGCGGCGCCCGGUGCCCAUGGCUGGGGGCACAGAGCUUUACAUUGUCGAAGAGUUGCCAGAGCGCCUCAGCCAGCUGCAGGGCGAUGGGGCUGGCUAUUGCUAUCUCUUUGUUGAAGAGCAGAGAGCUGAGAACAACGACGGUCAUCUCAACAAUGUCUUCAUCCACGGCCCGCAGGAGGUUGCCAAGGCUUUCAGUCAGGCUGUACAUUCUUUGGUUCUGUGUGGAAAACAAGGCUGGGCAACCCGACGCUGCUGCUGCUGCUGCAGGGCUCAGAGGCCGAAGGCCUGUCCCAGAGCACUCAGGCAGCUGAACAGUGACCCUGGAGAGCUGGGAGCAGCUGCCACAGCUCCCAAAGCCCAGCCAAGCCCAAGGGGCUGCUUUCCCCAGCCCCACGCUGCCAGCACAGCUUCAGCUGCUGCCUCCUUCUCACCAUCGAGGGGUCCUGGCUGA